UUCUAGUGACAGGAAAUCAUCCUAAAUCUAAAACAAUAUAUGCCAACUCAACACAUUUGUUUGGUGCCAGAUACCUUGGGAGAGGAAUUGAGAGUGAGACGGACCAAAAAUUUUGGAUAAUACAGCGUAUGCAUUUAGACCACUGGUUUAAACCUCAGCACCUUCGCCGUUUCAACGCCGACAUUAAUGAGUUUGCUGACAGUCUUGUACGCCAGAUGGAGCAGUGCGGACGGGAAAACACAUGUACCAAUGGAGAAGUUGCUUCAUAAAGUUACUCUCCAUCUUCUUUCUAAGGUUGCAUACAAUUUUGACCUCGGGAAGCUGGACGAAAAGUCUCAUCCUUUCGCAUAUUAUUUGGAGUUUGCAUUAUCUGCUUUUAUAAAGAAAGUGUUGGACCCGUUU